rnacentral:rRNA from 1 species
UACGUAGGUGGCAAGCGUUGUCCGGAAUUAUUGGGCGUAAAGCGCGCGCAGGCGGUCCCUUAAGUCUGAUGUGAAAGCCCACGGCUCAACCGUGGAGGGUCAUUGGAAACUGGGGAACUUGAGUGCAGAAGAGAAAAGCGGAAUUCCACGUGUAGCGGUGAAAUGCGUAGAGAUGUGGAGGAACACCAGUGGCGAAGGCGGCUUUUUGGUCUGUAACUGACGCUGAGGCGCGAAAGCGUGGGGGAGCAAACAGG